AGAGUUUGAUCAUGGCUCAGAUUGAACGCUGGCGGCAGGCCUAACACAUGCAAGUCGAACGGUAGCACAGAGAGCUUGCUCUCGGGUGACGAGUGGCGGACGGGUGAGUAAUGUCUGGGAAACUGCCUGAUGGAGGGGGAUAACUACUGGAAACGGUAGCUAAUACCGCAUAACGUCGCAAGACCAAAGAGGGGGACCUUCGGGCCUCUUGCCAUCAGAUGUGCCCAGAUGGGAUUAGCUAGUAGGUGGGGUAACGGCUCACCUAGGCGACGAUCCCUAGCUGGUCUGAGAGGAUGACCAGCCACACUGGAACUGAGACACGGUCCAGACUCCUACGGGAGGCAGCAGUGGGGAAUAUUGCACAAUGGGCGCAAGCCUGAUGCAGCCAUGCCGCGUGUAUGAAGAAGGCCUUCGGGUUGUAAAGUACUUUCAGCGGGGAGGAAGGCGAUAAGGUUAAUAACCUUGUCGAUUGACGUUACCCGCAGAAGAAGCACCGGCUAACUCCGUGCCAGCAGCCGCGGUAAUACGGAGGGUGCAAGCGUUAAUCGGAAUUACUGGGCGUAAAGCGCACGCAGGCGGUCUGUCAAGUCGGAUGUGAAAUCCCCGGGCUCAACCUGGGAACUGCAUUCGAAACUGGCAGGCUAGAGUCUUGUAGAGGGGGGUAGAAUUCCAGGUGUAGCGGUGAAAUGCGUAGAGAUCUGGAGGAAUACCGGUGGCGAAGGCGGCCCCCUGGACAAAGACUGACGCUCAGGUGCGAAAGCGUGGGGAGCAAACAGGAUUAGAUACCCUGGUAGUCCACGCCGUAAACGAUGUCGAUUUGGAGGUUGUGCCCUUGAGGCGUGGCUUCCGGAGCUAACGCGUUAAAUCGACCGCCUGGGGAGUACGGCCGCAAGGUUAAAACUCAAAUGAAUUGACGGGGGCCCGCACAAGCGGUGGAGCAUGUGGUUUAAUUCGAUGCAACGCGAAGAACCUUACCUGGUCUUGACAUCCACAGAACUUAGCAGAGAUGCUUUGGUGCCUUCGGGAACUGUGAGACAGGUGCUGCAUGGCUGUCGUCAGCUCGUGUUGUGAAAUGUUGGGUUAAGUCCCGCAACGAGCGCAACCCUUAUCCUUUGUUGCCAGCGGUUCGGCCGGGAACUCAAAGGAGACUGCCAGUGAUAAACUGGAGGAAGGUGGGGAUGACGUCAAGUCAUCAUGGCCCUUACGACCAGGGCUACACACGUGCUACAAUGGCAUAUACAAAGAGAAGCGACCUCGCGAGAGCAAGCGGACCUCAUAAAGUAUGUCGUAGUCCGGAUUGGAGUCUGCAACUCGACUCCAUGAAGUCGGAAUCGCUAGUAAUCGUAGAUCAGAAUGCUACGGUGAAUACGUUCCCGGGCCUUGUACACACCGCCCGUCACACCAUGGGAGUGGGUUGCAAAAGAAGUAGGUAGCUUAACCUUCGGGAGGGCGCUUACCACUUUGUGAUUCAUGACUGGGGUGAAGUCGUAACAAGGUAACCGUAGGGGAACCUGCGGUUGGAUCACCU
rnacentral:rRNA from 1 species